ncrna:unclassified sequences type-P1 twister ribozyme
ACCUUAAUGCAGCCGCCCAGCAGGGCGCGGGUCCCCAGCCCCGGUAAAUGCAGAGGGAGGA